UACGUAGGGUGCGAGCGUUAAUCGGAUUCACUGGGCGUAAAGCGUGCGUAGGCGGCCCGUUAAGACAGGUGUGAAAUCCCUGGGCUCAACCUAGGAAUUGCGCUUGUGACUGGCGGGCUCGAGUACGGUAGAGGGGGGUGGAAUUCCUGGUGUAGCAGUGAAAUGCGUAGAGAUCAGGAGGAACACCGAUGGCGAAGGCAGCCCCCUGGGCCUGUACUGACGCUCAUGCACGAAAGCGUGGGGAGCAAACAGG
rnacentral:rRNA from 1 species